UACGUAGGUGGCAAGCGUUGUCCGGAAUUAUUGGGCGUAACGCGCGCGCAGGCGGCCCCUUAAGUCUGAUGUGAAAGCCCACGGCUCAACCGUGGAGGGUCAUUGGAAACUGGGGGACUUGAGUGCAGAAGAGGAAAGUGGAAUUCCAUGUGUAGCGGUGAAAUGCGUAGAGAUGUGGAGGAACACCAGUGGCGAAGGCGACUUUCUGGUCUGUAACUGACGCUGAGGCGCGAAAGCGUGGGGAGCAAACAGG
rnacentral:rRNA from 1 species